rnacentral:rRNA from 1 species
CGCUAAAAAGCUAGCCCACAUACCCAAAAACAACAAACCACUAUUCAUACCCCCGAACAAACUGACUAAUCUAUUAACAAACCAUUUUCCCCCCUUAGUAUAGGCGAUAGAAAAGGAACCAUGGAGCCAUAGAAAAAGUACCGCAAGGGAAAGCUGAAAGAGAAAUGAAACAACCCAGUUAAGCACAAAAAAGCAGAGAUUAUAGCUCGUACCUUUUGCAUCAUGAAUUAGCUAGUAAAAUGCAAGCAAAGAGCACUUUAGUUUGCCUCCCCGAAACUAAGUGAGCUACUCCAAGAUAGCCUAGCAAUAGGGCGAACCCGUCUCUGUGGCAAAAGAGUGGGAAAAGCUUCGAGUAGUGGUGACAGACCUAUCGAACUUAGUUAUAGCUGGUUGCCUGAGAACUGGAUAGAAGUUCAGCCUCCCGGCUUCUCCCCUCACAUCUAACCUUAACCCUUAGACACCUAAAAGAAACCCGGAGAGUUAAUCAAAGGGGGUACAGCCCCUUUAAUAUAAGACACAACUUCUCCAGGAGGGAAAAGAUCAUAUUUAAGAUAAGGAACAAUGUCUUGGUGGGCCUAAAAGCAGCCAUCCUUACAGAAAGCGUUAAAGCUCAGACAUGUCUUUUUAUCCCCCUAUUCUGAUAACCUAUUCUCAACCCCCUAAUCUUAUCAGGCCAUUCCAUGCACUCAUGGAAGAGACCAUGCUAGUAUGAGUAAUAAGAGAGCACUGUAGGCUCUCUCCCUGCACAAGUGUAAAUCGGAACGGACACCCCACCGAAUUUUAACGGCCCCAAACAAAGAGGGUAAUGGACUACUAAACCAAACAACCAGAAAAACAUCCAACCAACAAACCUAACCGUUAACCCUACACUGGCGUGCUUCCAAGGAAAGACUAAAAGAAAGAAAAGGAACUCGGCAAACACAUCAAGCCUCGCCUGUUUACCAAAAACAUCGCCUCUUGCAAAAUUAACAAAUAAGAGGUCCCGCCUGCCCUGUGACUAUAUGUUUAACGGCCGCGGUAUUUUGACCGUGCAAAGGUAGCGCAAUCACUUGUCUUUUAAAUGGAGACCCGUAUGAAUGGCACAACGAGGGCUUAACUGUCUCUUCUUUCAAGUCAAUGAAAUUGAUCUCCCCGUGCAGAAGCGGGGAUACGCACAUAAGACGAGAAGACCCUGUGGAGCUUUAGGCACCAAGGCAGACUAUGUUAAGUACCCCAGACUAAUGACUAAAACAACUUAUAACCUGCCCUAAUGCCUUCGGUUGGGGCGACCGCGGGGAAAUAAAAAACCCCCAUGUGGAAUGGGAACACCUCCUAAAACUAAGAGCCCCCGCUCUAAUAAACAGAACUUCUGACUAAUAAGAUCCGGCAAUACCGAUCAACGGACCAAGUUACCCCAGGGAUAACAGCGCAAUCCCCUUUUAGAGCCCAUAUCGACAAGGGGGUUUACGACCUCGAUGUUGGAUCAGGACAUCCUAAUGGUGCAGCCGCUAUUAAGGGUUCGUUUGUUCAACGAUUAAAGUCCUACGUGAUCUGAGUUCAGACCGGAGUAAUCCAGGUCAGUUUCUAUCUAUGAAAUGACUUUCUCUAGUACGAAAGGACCGAGAAAAUGGGGCCCAUGCUUAAAGUACGCCUCCCCCCUCACCUAAUGAUUACAACUCAAAUAGGCAAAAGGACAUACUUUUCCCGCCCAAGAAAAUGGCAU